AAUCAACGCUGGCGGCGUGCCCAACACAUGCGAGUCGAACGAGAAAGCGGGGGCAACCCCGUGAGUACAGUGGCGACCGGGUGAGUAACACGUGACUAACCUGCCCUUGAACGUGGAAUAACCUUCCGAAAGGAGGGCUAAUACCGCAUGAACUCGCGAGGUGAGAAUCCUUGUGAGCAAAGGAGCAAUCCAUUCGAGGAGGGGGUCGCGGCUGAUUAGCUAGUUGGCGGGGUAACGGCCCACCAAGGCGAUGAUCAGUAUCCGGCCUGAGAGGGCGCACGGACACACUGGAACUGAAACACGGUCCAGACUCCUACGGGAGGCAGCAGUGGGGAAUUUUGCGCAAUGGGGGAAACCCUGACGCAGCAACGCCGCGUGAAGGAUGAAGUCCCUUGGGAUGUAAACUUCUUUCGACCGGGACGAUGAUGACGGUACCGGAUGAAGAAGCACCGGCUAACUCUGUGCCAGCCGCCGCCGUAAGAC
rnacentral:rRNA from 1 species